rnacentral:ncRNA from 1 species
UCUUAUUAAGAGAGGUGGAGGGAAAUGGCCCAGCGAAGCCUCGGCAACUUUCAUUAAAUGAAAAAGUGCCAAAUCCAUCAGGCUACUUUGUCUGAAAAAUAAGA